UACGUAGGGGGCUAGCGUUGUCCGGAUUUAUUGGGCGUAAAGAGCGCGUAGGCGGCCGAGUAAGUCCGACGUGAAAUCUGGAGGCUCAACCUCCAGCGGUCGUUGGAAACUACUCGGCUAGAGUCCGGAAGAGGAGAGUGGAAUUCCUGGUGUAGCGGUGAAAUGCGCAGAUAUCAGGAAGAACACCCGUGGCGAAAGCGGCUCUCUGGAACGGUACUGACGCUGAGACGCGAAAGCGUGGGGAGCGAACAGG
rnacentral:rRNA from 1 species